UCAAGUUUUAAAGUUAAAUUUACUUCUUCUUCCAUACUUUCAUCUUUUGUAUCCUCUGCAGCUACUACAACUUCAGCAUGAUCUAAUGUUAAAAAUACAGGUUUAUUGAUAAAUAAUUAGUUAAAAUUUAAACCGUCAUAAAAAAUGUAAAUUCAACAAACACAGAUUGUAACACCACGUAUUAUCUCAUAUUAAGUAAAUGGUGAAUAAACAUGGAUUAUAUAUAUAAAACAGAACUAUGGGUAAUUCGUAAAAUUAUAGGUUAGGUUAGGAGUGAAUAACAUUCACUACAAGACAAUAGCGUUCUCGGCACUAGUUCGCGCCCUCGAUUUGUAAAAAUCGAUAUGAGGUCACGGUAAGAGGAAAUUUUUGUUAUAUAUAUAUGUAGACUAAAUGGAAACAAAUAAAACUUAAAAUCGUGAUAAGUAAAAAAUACUUAGUACAAUGAUAGCUAUCAUACCAACGAAUCAAAAUUGGAUAUCGAAAAGUUCUAAAUAACAAAGUUCCUGUUAGAACUCACCGAACAUUGUGCUCACAUGGACCAGCACGGUAGAGAAUUGAAACAGCGAUCGAAAAUUUAACUGCGUUUAAGCACAAUUAAAUGACUUGUCAUCAUAGCUCCUGUAAGCAUAUUUAACGUACCCUGUGUCGAAUAUUUAAAAAAUAUUUAAUAAUGUUCAGGUGAGCCUAUUCUAAAGAUAAAACGAAAGAAACGAAGAAGAACUAAGAAGGACUUACCUGACCGUUAUUGACCGAAAGUUAUAAUGCAGAAACCCUAAGCAUCAUGGAUAUUAAUGAUAUCAUUGGUAGAGAUUCUACUUUAGAAAGUGAAAUUACGACUCUUUCUCGGAUAAUCAUAGAAUCAAAGACGGAUGCAAAUCAAUAAACCAUAACACAGAAAAAUCUGAAAUGUAAGAGGAAGAUGUGAUCAGAACCAAAGAAAAGUUACUAUAGCUGAGAAAAAUAAUCCUAAUGACAUAAAAUCGUUUUAAAAAAUCUGAGAAUGAUUGUUACGUCAAAGAAAUAGAGAAAUGGUAGAAUGAAAUAUUAAUGUGGAGUAAUCAAGCAGAAACAACUCUCAGUUCAAUAAUGAAAAUGUGUUAUAAGGAAAUGUGUAAUUCUAGAAACAAAAAAUUGUGAAUCUAAUGUAUUAUAUGUAAUAAUAUAUAAAUAAGCUUUAUGACUA